UACGGAGGGUGCGAGCGUUAUUCGGAAUUACUGGGCGUAAAGGGUGCGUAGGUGGUUUUAUAAGUUAUCUGUGAAAAGCCUGGGCUUAACCUGGGUCUGUCAGAUGAUACUGUGAGACUCGAGUAUGGGAGAGGGUAGUGGAAUUUCCGGUGUAGCGGUGAAAUGCGUAGAGAUCGGAAGGAACACCGGUGGCGAAGGCGGCUACCUGGCCUAAUACUGACACUGAGGUACGAAAGCGUGGGGAGCAAACAGG
rnacentral:rRNA from 1 species